AUUACUAAUUUUAGAAUUUAUUGUAAAUUUUAUACAUGGGAAUGAUGAUGACGAAUAUAUUAAAAGUAAUGAAUAAAAAACUAAUGGAAGAUUGUUCAAUCCAUCUGAUCAAAUUUAAGAAUUAGUUUAAAAAAUUCUCAUUUUCUCCAAAUUGGGUUGUCCCUCGAGUAAGGAUUUUCAUUUUCAUUCCUAUCUAUGGUAGAAAAGUUUGACUCGAAUUCAACUUGUUCAACGAAUUAUAUAUCUACAUUUUUGUAGUCCAUCAAUAAUUUUUAAUUUCUUUCCUAUCCAUUAUUGACAAAUAAAACUAUAUAAAAGAACAUUGAAAUUCCAUCCGUUUAGUUUUCAAAAAAAAUUAUAAGAAGCAAAUUAUAAUUUUUUUUAUUAGGAAGGUGAAAAUUUCAAAUCCAACAAAGUCGGCUCUCGGACACGUGUCUGUCACAAUUUCAGUCAGGGAUCUCAGUGUACUCCACACGUGACACGAGAGUAACAGUACGCUUAUUUAUAAACAAAUUAAACAAAAAAAAAACCCUAACAAUAUUUUUGCGCCAGUAAAUUACAGCGUCCCGUUCAACCUCUGUAUAAUCUCCUGUAGCAUAGCAUCUCCACAUUACAAAAACUGAAUUUACUUCUUCCUUCAAUUUCCUGUCUUUCAGCACAUCUGCAUUGUAAGUUUGAAGCUUUUCCUCUGUAUUUCUUUAAAUGGGUGCUCCUAAGCAGAAAUGGACACCUGAAGAGGAGGCAGCAUUAAAAGCUGGAGUCAUCAAACAUGGUGCUGGAAAAUGGCGAACGAUAUUAAAAGACCCAGAAUUCAGUGGUGUCUUGUAUCUGCGUUCCAACGUAGAUCUCAAGGAUAAAUGGAGAAAUAUGAGUGUGAUGGCAAAUGGAUGGGGUUCUCGGGACAAGGCUAGGUUAGCUGUGAAGAGGACAUCUAGCAUUCCAAAACAGGAGGAGAGUGCUAUGGCCCUCAGUGUUGUUGCAAGUGAUGAAGAAAUUGUGGAUGUUAAGCCUAUGGCAACUUCCAGCGCUACCAUGCAGAUACCAACUUCUACGAAGAGAUCCAUUGUCAGGUUAGAUAGCCUCAUUAUUGAAGCGAUUACAAGCUUGAAGGAGCCUGGUGGUUCAAAUAAGACAACCAUUGCUGCAUAUAUAGAGGAGCAAUAUUGGGCACCGCUUGAUUUUAAGAGGCUCUUGUCAGCAAAGUUGAAGUAUCUAACAGCGUGUGGUAGACUGAUUAAGGUCAAACGCAGGUAUAGGAUUGCACCUGCUCUAUCAUUUUCAGAGAGGAGGAGGAAUCACUUUAUGCCAUUUUCAGAGGGAAGGCAAAGGGUUUCUCCUCGAUUUGAUAGGGAUGAUUUCAAUAUCCUCACAAAAUCUCAGAUUGAUUUAGAGUUAGCCAGGAUUAGGACUAUGACGCCCCAGGAGGCUGCUGCAGCUGCUGCUCGAGCAGUUGCAGAAGCAGAAGCUGCAAUUGCAGAAGCUGAAGAAGCAGCAAGAGAGGCAGAGGUUGCAGAAGCUGAUGCAGAGGCAGCACAAGCUUUUGCAGAAGCAGCGUUGAAGACUCUAAAAGGAAGAAACAAUCAGAAAGUGGUAAAUGGUUGUGAUGUCUUUUAAAUAUUUAUUUUGCACAUGUGCACAUGCAGUGAUAAAAAGAGUUGAGUUCAGAAGACUUUAGGGUGGGAUAUUCGCAAGUAUCUGAUGGAUGGAUAUUAUAUGUUAUGAUGGCAUGUGAGAAUAAUAAAAUGGUUUGAGCUUGAUUUGACAAAAUGAGCAAGGUGUUAUGAAGCAUGACAUUUUGUAGCGGGCGUCCAGUUAUCAUCCCUGUUUGUAAAUAUGGUUAAGGCCUUUUUGGGUGCAUGAUGUAUGGGAUUCUUCCUUACCAGCAGAUCCUCUGGGAACAGUAGAUGUAGAUUCCAUUAACAACCUUUCUUGCUAAUGGUUUCAAAUGCAGGGAUUCUUCCUCAUUUUGUUUCUUGUUCUCUUUUAUGGGGGAAUAUUCUGUAUUGCAGUUGAUAUUUAUUCAUUUUCAAAGCCUCUGCUAUUGGCUUUCUUCCGGUAAAACAUAGAAAUUGGAAUGUAUAUAGGGAUAGCAACUGUGUGUUUCCAUCUGAGAUAUCUGUUGUAGUUCUUUGGGUAGAAAUGAAUCUAGUGCCGCAUCUUAA